GAGCAUAAUGUAUUAACUUUGCAAAAGUUAUAAAGAAUUUAGUAAAUUCUGUGCUUU
rnacentral:tRNA from 1 species